AAUCAAAUAUGGCAAAGCAAGCGAAAGCUUGUGACGCAAAACUAUAGGGCCUUUAAACUGGUAGCCAGCUGCAAUU
rnacentral:ncRNA from 1 species